AUACGGAGGGUGCAAGCGUUAAUCGGAAUUACUGGGCGUAAAGCGUACGUAGGCGGUUAUUUAAGUCAGAUGUGAAAGCCCCGGGCUUAACUUGGGAACUGCAUUUGAAACUGGGUAACUAGAGUUUAGUAGAGGGGAGUGGAUUUUCAGGUGUAGCGGUGAAAUGCGUAGAGAUCUGAAGGAACACCAGUGGCGAAGGCGACUCCCUGGACUAAAACUGACGCUGAGGUACGAAAGCGUGGGUAGCAAACAGGAUUAGAUACCCUAGUAGUCC
rnacentral:rRNA from 1 species